rnacentral:misc_RNA from 1 species
GUGAAUCAUCAAAUUUUUGAGCGCAAAUUGCACUCUCUGGUAUUCCGGAUAGUAUGCCUGUUUGAGGGUCAGUUUAAAUAAAAACGGGGUUGUUUCUGCCUUUUGUGGUGAAGCAACGGGUUUGGGUCGUCUUGCCUUUGGUUAAGGGAACUAAAAUUUUGCAUGGUUUUUUCGGACGUAUUUAAAUUGACUUACCUACGUUUGCGAUAUCGAAUACUA